rnacentral:rRNA from 1 species
GAUGAACGCUGGCGGCGUGCUUAACACAUGCAAGUCGAACGAAGCAAUUUAUUUCGAUCCCUUCGGGGUGACGAAUUUAUUGACUGAGUGGCGGACGGGUGAGUAACGCGUGGGUAACCUGCCUUACACAGGGGGAUAACAGUUAGAAAUGACUGCUAAUACCGCAUAACCCGCUAGUACCGCAUGGUACGGACGGAAAAGAUUUAUCGGUGUAAGAUGGACCCGCGUCUGAUUAGCUAGUUGGUGAGGUAACGGCUCACCAAGGCGACGAUCAGUAGCCGGCUUGAGAGAGUGAACGGCCACAUUGGGACUGAGACACGGCCCAGACUCCUACGGGAGGCAGCAGUGGGGAAUAUUGGGCAAUGGGGGAAACCCUGACCCAGCAACGCCGCGUGAAGGAAGAAGGCCUCGGUUGUAA